UGGGGAAUAUUGGACAAUGGGCGCAAGCCUGAUCCAGCCAUGCCGCGUGUGUGAAGAAGGCCUUUCGGUUGUAAAGCACUUUAAGCGAGGAGGAGGCUACUUGGAUUAAUACUCUAAGAUAGUGGACGUUACUCGCAGAAUAAGCACCGGCUAACUCUGUGCCAGCAGCCGAGGUAAUACAGAGGGUGCGAGCGUUAAUCGGAUUUACUGGGCGUAAAGCGUGCGUAGGCGGCUUCUUAAGUCGGAUGUGAAAUCCCUGAGCUUAACUUAGGAAUUGCAUUCGAUACUGGGAAGCUAGAGUAUGGGAGAGGAUGGUAGAAUUCCAGGUGUAGCGGUGAAAUGCGUAGAGAUCUGGAGGAAUACCGAUGGCGAAGGCAGCCAUCUGGCCUAAUACUGACGCUGAGGUACGAAAGCAUGGGGAGCAAACAGG
rnacentral:rRNA from 1 species